AAUAGGAGCCAGAGAAUAGCAAAUAUUGACACUCUUCUGUGUCAACAGAAAAGAAAGUGCAAAACUGGCUGUCGUUAGAUCAAAUUUCACUUUCAAAAUUAACAUUUGGUAUAUUCUUUCUCUUUCAGUGCAACUAGAUGUGUUGAUGCUAAGAGGCUGAAAUCUCUUCUGCUGCAGCUUACCUCUGUGUAAGACUGUUGAUGAGUCAAAUUCUCUGGGAUGCUCAGGAUCCAGGCAGGCAUCACGUGUUUUUCUUCUGACCCACAAUGACAUCUGCCAGGCCAUCUCCUGCAACUUAAUUGGGGCACACUCCUGUACCCUUUGGAUACUCUGGAAAAUACCCUGCAGGGCUUGGGCACUUCUGAAGGCUUUCAGAUCCACUACACUUCAUUACACCUUUUGAACAAGAAGUGUCUGCUAUCUAUGGCGAAAUCACCAUAGUUAUUUUGGUGGUAAGAGCACUUACAAGGCAGUCUUCACAGGAGAAGCAAAGUGUAAGACUAUGGUAAAAAACCCUCCAGAAACACUGUAAAUGUGAGAUCUGAAGAUAAGAGAACUAGGUUUCUAGUUCUAGAGAACUAGAAACUCACUAGACAGUGAGUUUCAUUGCUUCAGCCUUUUGGAAAAGGACCAACUCUGCAGCUGCUCAGUGUAUGAUGCACACAGGGAUCAGGCAUGUUGGGGGAUGUUAUUCUCAAGGCCCUACAUGUAGGAUUUGAAAUAUCUCUUUUUAUUGGAAAUUAAUUUUAAACAAAUCGAUUGGGCCACAGCUGAGCCAUUCUCUGAAGUUUGCAGGUAAAGCAUAAAAUGCCACCCAAAAAAAAAAAAAAAAAAAAACAAGAAAAGAAAGAGUCUCUCCUGACUGUCCAGCUGACACAAAUCUCUUCUUCUUGAAUCAGGAGUGAAACCUUUGUCAAGCAAUACCAAGGAGCAGCCACGUCAUUUGGGCUCUGGUUACGUUUUCCCUGGAAGCAAGAGCUCACAACACUUGGAGAGAAUCCACAGCUGUCUUUGCAAGGUCUCUGCAAGCUGGAAAAUUGAGGAUUCAUCCAUUUUCCUGAAGAUAAAUAAUUUUAUGACUAUUUUUCCAAUUGCAUGUACUUCUCCUUUUGGAAAGACUGAACCCUUGCAAUUCCCAAGCAGGUCCUCUGCACCUGACAGCAGUUUUUAUAGCUUGUUUCCUUUUCCAUAGCUAAGUUUAGCUCUCAGUUUUCCUAUGUCUCAUUCCCCAGGCAGAUCUCACAAGUAGUUAAGCUGUUUAUGUUUUCUUCCUGCAUGCACCCAGAAGUUUGAAGAAAUAACUGCAAGAUUUUAUAUCAGAUUCAUGGGACAAAUAUCAAAAGAUAAGUGAAAAUCAAAAAUUCACUCUGAAGCUAUCAUACCACUGAAAUACUCACAGCAGAAGAUGGGCUUGCUGAGGUGGAAUUUAUUAAUUGUCACAGAGAUCUCUGCAAGAACUUGAAUUUUUCUCGUAUGUCAUGUGAGCUCCAUUCCCAACCAGUCCCAUGUCUCUGACUUGGCUGCUGACCUGUAUUCAUG